UGGGGAAUAUUGGACAAUGGGCGAAAGCCUGAUCCAGCAAUGCCGCGUGAGUGAUGAAGGCCCUAGGGUUGUAAAGCUCUUUUACCCGGGAAGAUAAUGACUGUACCGGGAGAAUAAGCCCCGGCUAACUCCGUGCCAGCAGCCGCGGUAAUACGGAGGGGGCUAGCGUUGUUCGGAAUUACUGGGCGUAAAGCGCGCGUAGGCGGCUUUGUAAGUUAGAGGUGAAAGCCCGGGGCUCAACCCCGGAAAUGCCUUUAAGACUGCAUCGCCUGAAUCCAGGAGAGGUGAGUGGAAUUCCGAGUGUAGAGGUGAAAUUCGUAGAUAUUCGGAAGAACACCAGUGGCGAAGGCGGCUCACUGGCCUGGUAUUGACGCUGAGGUGCGAAAGCGUGGGGAGCAAACA
rnacentral:rRNA from 1 species